ACGGGGGGUGCAAGCGUUGAUCGGAAUUACUGGGCGUAAAGAGCGCGCAGGCGGUUGGUUAAGUCAGAUGUGAAAGCCCCGGGCUCAACCUGGGAACUGCAUCUGAUACUGGCAAGCUUGAGUCUCGUAGAGGGGGGUAGAAUUCCAGGUGUAGCGGUGAAAUGCGUAGAGAUCUGGAGGAACACCGGUGGCGAAGGCGACCUCCUGGACGAAGACUGACGCUGAGGUGCGAAAGCGUGGGGAGCAAACAG
rnacentral:rRNA from 1 species